rnacentral:rRNA from 1 species
AGUGAACGCUGGCGGUAGGCCUAACACAUGCAAGUCGAACGGCAGCACAGUAAGAGCUUGCUCUUACGGGUGGCGAGUGGCGGACGGGUGAGGAAGACAUCGGAAUCUACUUUUUCGUGGGGGAUAACGUAGGGAAACUUACGCUAAUACCGCAUACGACCUACGGGUGAAAGCAGGGGAUCUUCGGACCUUUCGCGAUUGAAUGAGCCGAUGGUGGAUUAGCUAGUUGGCGGGGUAAAGGCCCACCAAGGCGACGAUCCGUAGCUGGUCUGAGAGGAUGAGCAGCGACACGGGGACUGAGCCACGGCCCAGACUCCUACGGGAGGCAGCAGUGGGGAAUAUUGGACAAUGGGCGAAAGCCUGAUCCAGCAAUGCCGCGUGAGUGAUGAAGGCCUUAGGGUAGUAAAGCUCUUUGACCCGGGAUGAUAAUGACAGUACCGGGAGAAUAAGCGCCGGCUAACUCCGUG